rnacentral:rRNA from 1 species
GUAGGUGGCAAGCGUUGUCCGGAAUUAUUGGGCGUAAAGCGCGCGCAGGUGGGUUCUUUAAGUCUGAUGUGAAAGCCCCCGGGCUCAACCGGGGAGGGUCAUUGGAAACUGGGGAACUUGAGUGCAGGAGAGGAAAGUGGAAUUCCACGUGUAGCGGUGAAAUGCGUAGAUAUGUGGAGGAACACCAGUGGCGAAGGCGACUUUCUGGCCUGUAACUGACACUGAGGCGCGAAAGCGUGGGGAGCAAACAGGAUUAGAUACCCUGGUAGUCCACGCCGUAAACGAUGAGUGCUAAGUGUUGGGGGGUUUCCGCCCCUCAGUGCUGCAGCUAACGCAUUAAGCACUCCGCCUGGGGAGUACGGCCCCAAAGACUG